ACAAAUGUUCGUUCUGUAAAAGGGUUGGAUCCGACGCCCCUAGGAGGCUACUAUAGGCUCUCCUUCUCAACUCCUACUCCAUACGCAUAAGAAGUAUAGCAUAAGCAAUAGCACAAGAAAUUCUUAUUAACAACCUCUUGGCUAUGAUCGUG
rnacentral:ribozyme from 1 species